CUCCAUUUUCCUUACGCACCUUAUCUUCCUUAUCCUCUCCAGCCGCGCGUGCCCAGGUGCACUCGUUUCUCUCUGCCUCUCGCGCUGGGCUCCCGGUCUUGCCGGCGGCCAAGUUCUCCAGCCAAGCUCCUCCCUGCGGCAGCCACCACAUGGGCGCUCAUCUCCCUACUCCAUGGCGGCACCUCCUACUCCGUGGUAGCGAGCUCGCCCCUGUAUUCCUGCUCGCCCAGCCCUCCUCUGCUGAUAGCCGGUGGCCGCCGACGUCGAUUUCAGCUCCCUGGACGUGCGCCCCUGAUCCCCAUGUCCCAGCUCCUCCCCACCUCCUAGAUGGUCGGCGCCAUCCCCAGCGCUCCCUGCUCCAGCACGUCUCCAUGGCCGUCAAGUCCCUCCCAUGGUCGAGCACGUCCCUGCGUUCCGAUGUUGGACACCGGACUGCGCUGCUCGUCCUCAACCUCGCUGAUGCUAUUUUCCUGGUGCAUGUCCUCGCCCUAGGCCAUUGAACAACAACAGCCAUGAAGCCCUUCGUGUCGCGCCCUCGACGUGUUCGACAGAAUAUUACAGUGUGCUACACCCGAUCUGUGCAGCCCUAUCGCGACCUCGUCGAACCCCGAUGAGGACCCGUUUUCCCUAUGUUCAUUCCUCGCCAGUACUAAUACCCAAAAUCAAGUUAUUAGAUGCUAAUGUAUGUAUAUGUGUGUGUGCAAUGUGCGAGAUGUGAGGAAUUUCAUAUUGGUGAGGCCAGGCAAGCCGUGCGACAAGUGCUAGAUGUUCGAUGAAAUGAUUGAAUCGGAGAGUGUCACUGUUUGUGUGGAUUAUCAAGUUAGGCAAAUAACAGUGAGCCAAAUCAUUAUUUCAGAUAGUGGUUGAUAGAUGAAUUGAGUAGUGUUGGGGGUCUUUUUCUCCGCCGAAGGUUCCCUAAGCAAAAACACCUUCGGCAAGACAGUACAAAGGCAGGUGCGACUUGAAGAUAUAAGCCAAAGAUGAUGCGGACAAAGUCGAAGCUACGAUUGAAAGGGCUUCGGCUUGGUAUUAUGUUAAAGGUGAAGCACGAUACCGAUUUAAAGAGGAAAAGACUGUAUAGCCCUAGAUAGUCUGUAUUAUGAUCAUAAUUAUUUAUCAGGGACAUUGAUUUAAUUUCGUCCGGGUUGCGUCACAUGCCUAUAAAUAGAUGAACAGUACCUCUGUACUAUUCACGUUGCAUUGUUAUCACUCCCGCGUCCCCCACAUUAUCACAUUCUGUCGAGCCGAAGGUAUCAAUAAAAUACAAAUACUAUGAGCAUUUAUCCAUGUUUGUAAAAUGAAAUGAGAAUGUAAAUGAUCUAUCUCUAUGUUGUCAAUAUUUACAUUCUUAUAUC